AAGAGUGAACUAGCUAACUGAAAUCACAAACAAGCUUAAAAAGCUAUUUGUGAUAAGGUAAGGGAAAAAACUGAUGUUACCUUACUAAAAGUGUUGUCCAAAACUGGUGCCAGAAGACUCGGUAAGACCAGAAACGCAAACGUUAAUCGUCCUAAUCAGGCGUAAAGGGUUCGUAGGCUGCUUUUAAAAUUUUUAUUUAAAAUAGCUCUUAUUUUGUUUUAUUGUAUUGUUUUAAAAAAAUAAUAAAAAUAAAUAAAAAUAAGUUAAAUAAAAUAAUAAUAAAAGCUAGAAUCAAAUUUAGGAUAUGAAAAAUGCUUAGUGUAGGGAUGGUAUCCGCAGAUAUUAAGUGGAMUACUAAAGGCGAAAGCUUCUAUCUAUUAAUGAUUGACGCUGAGGAACGAAGGUGAGAAUAGGAAAUAGGAUUAGGUACCCAGAUACCUCUCACUGUCAACGAUGAAUGGUAGUUAGUCAGUUYUAAAACAAAUUGGUAACGAUGUUAACGCGAUAMCCAUUCCGCCUUGCGAGUACGGUUGCAAAACUGAAACCAAAAAAAUUAGUCGGUCUCGGAGCAAACGAAGUGGAGCAUGUUAUUUAAUU
rnacentral:rRNA from 1 species